rnacentral:rRNA from 1 species
UAGGGAAUCUUCGGCAAUGGGGGGAACCCUGACCGAGCAACGCCGCGUGAGUGAAGAAGGUUUUCGGAUCGUAAAGCUCUUUUGUUAAGGAAGAACGAGUGUGAGAAUGGAAAGUUCAUGCUGUGACGGUACUUAACCAGAAAGGGACGGCUAACUACGUGCCAGCAGCCGCGGUAAUACGUAGGUCCCGAGCGUUGUCCGGAUUUAUUGGGCGUAAAGCGAGCGCAGGCGGUUAGAAAAGUCUGAAGUGAAAGGCAGUGGCUCAACCAUUGUAGGCUUUGGAAACUGUUUAACUUGAGUGCAGAAGGGGAGAGUGGAAUUCCAUGUGUAGCGGUGAAAUGCGUAGGUAUAUGGAGGAACACCAGUGGCGAAGGCGACUCUCUGGUCUGUAACUGACGCUGGGGCUCGAAAGCGUGGGUAGCAAACAGG